AGAGAGAGACUUGUCUCAGAUUGGCUGGGCCAACUCUGUUUCCUGUAGAAAUGUUUGAACAUAUGAGAUACAAAGCAGAGCGUUUAUCUUGUGAGUCAUUCUCCAUAUUUCAGACAUAAGAUUUCGAUUUUCAGUGGGUCUACGUGACAGAAGGAAUGGAGACCCUCUUGGGCCUGCUCAUCCUUUGGCUGCGGUUGCAAUGGGUGAGCAGUAAACAGGAGGUGACACAGAUUCCUGCAGCUCUGAGUGUUCCAGAAGGAGACAACUUGGUUCUCAACUGCAGUUUCACUGAUAGCGCUAUUUACAACCUCCAGUGGUUUAGGCAGGACCCUGGGAAAGGUCUCACAUCUCUGUUGUUAAUUCAGUCAAGUCAGAGAGAGCAAACAAGUGGAAGACUUAAUGCCUCGCUGGAUAAAUCAUCAGGACGUAGUACUUUAUACAUUACAGCUUCUCAGCCUACUGACUCAGCCACCUACCUCUGUGCUGUGAGACACAGUGCACAACAGGCACCUGCAACCAGUACCCAAACUCUAUAG